GACGGAGGAUGCAAGUGUUAUCCGGAAUCACUGGGCGUAAAGCGUCUGUAGGUCGUUUAAAAAGUCUACUGUUAAAAAUUGAAGCUUAACUUCAAAGAUGCCGUAGAAACUUUUAAACUUGAGUAUGGUAGGGGUAGAGGGAAUUUCCAGUGGAGCGGUGAAAUGCGUAGAUAUUGGAAAGACCACCAAUGGCGAAGGCACUCUACUGGGCCAUUACUGACACUGAGCGCCGUAAGCUAGGGGAGCAAUUGGG
rnacentral:rRNA from 1 species